UCGUAAAUGUGCCAAGCAGUC
rnacentral:piRNA from 1 species